AAAGGGGACCCCCUCCCAGUGCACAGACGCACUCCCGCCUUUCCGGAAAGUCCGAAGCGUGCUCCCAGCUUCCCUCUGGGCAAAGGACUGACUGAGCAGCCGGCCCUGGCAGUAUUUCCUCGGACUUUGACGCAGAGGCAGGCUCAGCUUCCUCGACUGUAAAAUGGGAACAGAUCCAGUCCCUGUGUGGAGCAGAAGCAAAGGGGCUGCUAAAUAAUGGUGGUUUCCUUGUCCUCCUAGGAUAAUCUGUGGCCCAUUUGUGUCUGAGCUCAAUCAGGGAUCAGGGCUGCCCUCUCCACUCCCAUACCCUCAGAUCCUGGCCUAGUGCCUGGCACAUAACAGGCCCUUAAUGUCAGUUUGUUGGGUACAUGAAGGCUUUGGGAAACACAAGCUGAGCCCCUCACCCAGCACUGAAGGGACUGGCCCUGAAGAGUGCUCAGGUGACAGACUUUCACCUGACCAGGGCUGGGGUCUUCGCUCAGGUUGGGCAGAUUCUCCUCACCAAAGUCACCCCAUUUCCCCUGAUGAGACCUUUGUUCUAGGUCUGCCCGGUUUGGAAUAUCUUAUUUACCGCCUUUCUUCUGAAAUCCAAACCUUUAAGACCCGAUCUGCUCUCUUUUUUCAGUUUAGGUUCCUCCCCUGGGGGCAGACAGACAUCCCAAACCAGUACUCAAGUCAGGGUAGCCCCUAGGCCCAGAGAUCAGUUGGCUGAUUCUGUCCUGGGAUGGGAGGGAAGGUUAGAGGCUUUCUAGGGUGGGAGGACCAAGGCAGAGAGACAGGCUACAGAAGUCACUCGGGAAGGCUGCAGAAGGUGAGCAGGUGUGGAGUGGGGGGAGGGUAGACAUUUACUAUUGCACUGAUGUCCCCACUGGGCUCUUCUUGUGUCUGGAUCUUUUGUUUGCUUGAUGUUAUGAGAACAGACUGAAUUCCUAGGAAUCUCAGCUCAUAGAACUGAAGAUUCAUUCUUUUGUUAAGCACCUAGUUUUUUGCCCCAGUCUAAAGUCCAGUUUUUUUUUCUCUCUCUCUCUCUCUUUUUUUUUCUGAUGUCUGAGUCUUCACUCUGUCCCAAAUCCCCUGUAAGUGAAUAAUUACAUGCUCUCGUGUAUGCAGAAGGAAUUCUAAUCUAGUCCUUCAUCUGUUUGCUAUCCUAAUCAAUACCCUUUCUGUGCCCUGAAAGAGGAACAGGUGAUGAAGCUGACCCUGUUGCUGACCUCAGGUGCCGACAAGUUAGUGGUAGGGACAACACACAGAGAGAGAUAACACCAGGUCAGAGCUCAGUCAUCACAAAACCGGCACAGAACCGUGUUCUCAUCUCGGUGAGAGGACGGUUAGGGACUGCUGGCGAGCACUUUGUGUGCAUGGGGUUAGCCACAGGAAGCACAUGGAACACUCAAAUUGGGCCCUUUGGGGAGAGUUUAAAGAAAGCACUAUUUAGAGGUGGAGUCGGGGUGCAGGGAAACCACAGGGUUGGCAUAUCACUGAAGGGCUAGCAAGAGCAGUCCUUUGCUAUCUACCCCAGGCCGAAGCUGUCAUCCCUAGUGAAGGGGUGCUGGGAGGGAGUGAAGCUGGGAGGUACAAGCAGGGGGCUACUGACUGGAGCUGUGGCCUGUUUGACCGGCAUACCCAGCUCAGAGCAAUCCUGGUGGAAAAGACGGGUGAUAAAUCCUAUGGAAGCCCUGGGCCAGAGACUGUCUAUGCAGCCCAUAGAGGUGCGCAUUCCGGGGCCUAGAGCUGGAGGGAGCUGGAGGGAGGAGGGUGCGGAGUGUACAGAGUGUAGCUGGAGAGGCAACGGAAGAUAAAUGCUUGGUACAUGGGCCCAGAGACAGUGACUCCACAAAGGAAACAGAAACUGCUUAUGCUUUCCUUAUCAUUCAGUUCUAAAUAUUUUGAAAUUUCAUUGUCAUUUCCUCUUAAAACUCAUGGAUGAUUUGGAAGUAUGGUUUUAGUUUCUCAGUCUAUGGGAGGUUUAUAUUUUUCUUGUUGACUUCUAAUUAUAUUGCAUUGUGGUUGGAGAUCAUGGUAAGAUUCUUUGGAAUGUGAUGUGACUCCCUCUGUGGCUCUGUACAUGGUUAUUUGCUGUGCCUCUGAGCUGGGUUUUAUAGGAUGGGAAGGAGUUUGCCUGGUGAAGAGUGAAAAGCACAGACUCUUAGGUUGUGGGAAAUAGAAAUGAUCCAUUCUGAAGGCACUUCAGAAGUUCCCAGCUCAUCCGCAGAGCUCCCUGGUGUCUGCCUUAACACAAGCUGACAGGCUGGCAGGUGGGAUGGGAGGCAGAUGGAAGAGUUGGGAGAAGCCAGAGAUGACCCCAGAUCCCUCAAACAUCUGUACCCUCUUCCUCUGGCUCUGGGCUACAGAGACUGUGUUCUUCCAGGAGGCUUUGCAGGCACUAAGACCCAGACCCUGGAGGACAAGGUCCUGGCUAUACCACAUAUUAGCUGUGCGACCCUCUCUGAUGGCGGACAUGUAGGCCCCUCCCCUAAGUGCACACCCUCCAACCACUGGGGUUAGUUCCCAGUUAGUUAGCGGAGGUGAAAGUAAAGGGGGGGGAGGGUUGUUCACCAGUGUCCCAGGCUCAGCCUUCCUACCCUCUCUACAGGACAGGCACUGCUCCCUGUCACUGUGUCCUGAGUGUAAGUGGCUCAAAUAAGGCCCUGUCUCUGAAGAGUGGUGGGAGCCAUCCAGGACCAAGAUACAGCAAAAAAAUGGCCAUCUGUGAGCUAGGAAGCAGGUCCUCACCAGACACUGAAACCAUGGACAUCUUGACUUUGACUGCCCAGACUCCACAACUGUGAAAAAUACAUGUCUGUCGCCACGCAGUCUGUGGCAUUCUGUUAUAGCAGCCCAAACAGAGUAAGACCACCUCUUCCUGUUCCCUGUAUCAUCUCUGGCGGGGGUGGGGGAGCAAAGCUGGAGGGCCUCUCAGAGGGUAGGGUGAUGUCUUCUAGUAAUAAUGGUAGUAAAUAAGUAUAGCUUCAACAUCUUGUGGAGACAGCAUGUAGAGUCAAAACAGUAUGCCUGUCUGGUUCAUUUGUUCAUUUACUCCUUCAUCCUGUAGGUAUUUACUGCAGGGUCACUAGAUGCAGGCACUGUAUGUGGCUCUCACGCAGACCUUGUCUUGCUUUGUGGGUGAUGAUAAAAGCCUCAGUCUUCUAAGGAUUUUCUACGAGGCCCAGGUAUCCUACUUCACAGCUCAUAAAACUGAGGCUGCACUGGGGCAUCUGGCUGGCUCAGUAGAGCAUGUGACUCUUGAUCUCAGGGUGGAGAGUUCAAGCCCUACUCUAGGUAUAGAGCUUACUUUGAAACAAAACAAAACAAAACAAAACAAAAAACCUGAGGCUACAGAAGAUCAUUACAUGCAAUAGGUCAUAAAAGGGUUGACUCUUAAAGGGGAAGGGUCCAGUGACUAUCAUCACUUUGUUUAACUUCCUCAGAAUAAAUGGGGGAAAAUGAGGCACAGGGAAUGAAAGGGAUGGGCCCAAAGAUAAAUAAGGACAAUAAAAGCCUUUUAUAUACCUGUGCUUGAGAUGCAUUUUCUUAUUCCUUCUCCUCAUUGACCCUGGAAGGGAGGG